GUGAGGAAUAUUUGUCAAUGGGCGAGAGCCUGAACCAGCCAAGUCGCGUGAAGGAAGAAGGAUCUAUGGUUCGUAAACUUCUUUUGCAGGGGAAUAAAGUGCAGGACGUGUCCUGUUUUGUAUGUACCCUGAGAAUAAGGAUCGGCUAACUCCGUGCCAGCAGCCGCGGUAAUACGGAGGAUCCGAGCGUUAUCCGGAUUUAUUGGGUUUAAAGGGUGCGUAGGUGGUUUGAUAAGACAGCGGUGAAAGUUUGCAGCUUAACUGUAAAAAUGCCGUUGAAACUGUCGGACUUGAGUGUAAAUGAGGUAGGCGGAAUGCGUGGUGUAGCGGUGAAAUGCAUAGAUAUCACGCAGAACUCCGAUUGCGAAGGCAGCUUACUAAGCUACAACUGACACUGAAGCACGAAAGCGUGGGGAUCAAACAGGAUUAGAUACCCCGGUAGUCC
rnacentral:rRNA from 1 species